UACGUAGGGGGCAAGCGUUGUCCGGAUUUAUUGGGCGUAAAGAGCGUGUAGGCGGCCUGGAAGGUCAGCUGUGAAAACUCGAGGCUCAACCUCGAGACGUCGGUUGAAACCACCUGGCUAGAGUCCGGAAGAGGAGAGCGGAAUUCCUGGUGUAGCGGUGGAAUGCGCAGAUAUCGAGGAAGAACCACCCGUGGCGAAGGCGGCUCUCUGGGACGGGUACU
rnacentral:rRNA from 1 species